AUCCUGUUAUGAGGGCACUUUCUGAUUAGGUCCCUGAAUCUCUCCCAGGCUUCAUAAAAAGAUUCAUUGUCUUGCUAGAUAAAGUUAUUAAUUUUAGAUCUCAGUUU